rnacentral:rRNA from 1 species
GUCUUGGUGAUUCGUCGCAGUGGCCACACCUCUUUCCAUUCCGAACAGAGAAGUUAAGCACUGUAGAGCUGAUGAUACUCAAUUUAGGGGAAAGUAAGCAGUCGCCAGGACA